CGAGAUUGACAAAUAGCUCUACAGGAACGUCAAGGCGAGAAAAAGACAGAUUAGACGGAGUUUUUUGACCACCUCACACCAGACGAAUCAGCUGAGGAGAACUACGGUGGCUGACGUGAAAAUGCAAACAGCCCCGUCUACAGCCAGCUGGACUGGCCAUUCUGGGCUACUGCAUGAACAACAUG